AGUCUGGUUUUGGAUGAUCGGCAGUUAGCCGAUUUGGCUUUUCAUGGAUUGUUGCCACAUAUCAAAGAUAAAUAUGCUUCUCAAGAGUUUGAAAGUUUGAGUCAUUUGGUGCAAAGGAUUUCUGAUCAAGAUAUCAAGGCUUUUGAAUCAAGAAAGGCUAGGAAUAAGAAAGUAUCAUUUGUUGGUGAGGCAGGGAGUUCUGAUUCUGAUGAAGAACCGGUCAUCCGCUUGGC
rnacentral:lncRNA from 1 species